UAGCUCAGUUGGUAGAGCAUGGUGUUUGCAACGCCAGGGUUGUGGGGUCGAUUCCCAC
rnacentral:tRNA from 1 species